rnacentral:ncRNA from 1 species
AUAAUGAUACUCCUUGAGAUAGCCAGCACGCAGUGGUGGAGGUGAGAUGCCAGUGA